GUCUAUGGCCAUACCACCCUGAAUGCACCCGAUACUGUCUGUUCUCAGAAGCUAAGCAAGGUCAGGCCUGGUUAGUACUUGGAUGGGAGAAAAAAAGUUGAUGUAAAUA
ensembl:rRNA 5S_rRNA 5S ribosomal RNA